UGCUGACAAUGGAGAAACUGAAGUAAUUUCGUUUGUCAUAAAGUUGUGUUGUUAGAUUGUUAUCAACAUCUAUACUGUAUUGAAAGGUGAAGCAGAUAUGGAAGACUGAUGUCCGUUCUUUGAAGUUCAAGGGUUUGGAAUAUGAUGUCUCCAACAAGAAUAGGUUUGAUGAUUGUUACCAUGGAAACGAACUCAUGGACCUAUGUCACAAAUGUCUGUUUUUGGUUUCGAAUAUGAUGUCUCCAGCAUGGAUAUGUUUGACGAUUGUUACCAUGGAAACGAACUCACGGACCAACAUGUUUGAACAUGAUGCAUCCAGCAAAGAUAUGUUUGGUGAUGGUUACCAUGGGAACGAACUCACGGACCUAUGUCAAAAAUGUCUUUUUCUGAUAAAAUAGACAUACAUGUAAUGCUAUCCAUUUCACUCAAUUAGAUAUUUUUAAUUAUUCUGAUGUCAUCUAUACACAUCCAGUUUCUCUACAGGUUUUGAAUAUGAUGUCUGCAGCUAGGAAAUGUUUGAUGAUGGUUACUAUGGAAAUGAACUCUUAUACCUAUUUAAAAAUGACAUUUUCUGUUAAAUUAAAAAUAAUGCUAUUUACUUUAAUCACUUUAGGAAUUUGUUCAUUGCUCUGAUAUCAGUUCCACACUUCCUUUUAGACAAAUAGUAAAUUUCAGUAAGUUAUGAUGUCUCCAGCAAGGGUAUCUUUGAUAUUCGUUACCAUGUAAACGAACUCACGAACCUAUCUAAAAUGUAUUUUUUCGAUAAGAUAAAUUCAAUAUCUAUUUCACUCAUUUUUAGGAUUUUUUAAUUGCUCUGAUGUCAGUACCAUACCUCCUUAAUUAAAAUCGUUGCUCUCUUUAAAAAGAAUUCAAGCCUGCAUCAGUUCUUUAUAUAGAAAUGUUGUAAUUAAUAAAAUAUAUCUGAAAUUGAAUUAAAGAGAUCAUCAAAUCAAUUAUAAGAUUUCCAAAUGCAAUUUUACGAGCGAUAAUUCCACCACAUUGAUGCGCAUAUCAGCUGAAUUGAUGAGAACAAUAACUGAAUUCAUGCACUUAUCAAAUCAAUUAUUGCUCUCAUCAAUUGAAUUAAUGCGCACAUCAAAUCAAAUAUUAUUCACAUCAAUUGAAUUGAUGCUCUCAUCCAUUGAUUUAAUGCGUGCAUCAAUUCAAUAAUUGAAUCAAUGAAAUCUUCAAAUGAUUCAAUUUAAAGUAUAUCCAAUGAUUUGAGUUUACGUUAAUAUAACGCCCCCUAUAGAUCGCUGGCGUGUGGUAAUUGAUUUUUAUGACGUUUUCAAAAAAUUAGUUUCGUUUUAAAUGUUAAGAAAUCCUUUUAUUAGCACAUGAUUUUGUGAAUCAUCAAAAAAAAAUUUUUGUUUCCGUUCAGUAUGCAUGAGUCAUAAAGGUCCUAAUCCCAGAAGACUUUAUAGGGCUCACGGCGGGUGUGACCGGUCGACAGGAAAUGCUCACUCCUCCUAGGCACUUGAUCCCAUAUCUGACAAAGGCUGUUACAUAAAAGAACCAACAACAACAAGAGCGACGCCUACUAUAGCAAUGACAACAACCAUAGCAACGACAACACAGUCAGUGUCGACUGAAAGCAGAGAUUCAAACUAUUCAACCCAGGGAAUCUCACGUAAUGAAACCAUGUUGGAAAUGAAUUCCUGUUCAACAGAAACCGGUUUUUUGAUUUUCUUUAUCCUCACUACUGUCUCUCUCGGUAUGGUUAUCGCUCUGUUGAAAAUACAGAGAUUAAACAAGUUCUGCAGAAAUAUAGCGAAAAGCUGCAGAAAAGAACAUCCAAAAGACAAAUAUGGUGGAGAAAGUUUGAAUGGUGGUGAAAAUAUAAAUAGUGGAGAAAAUAUACCAAUGGCGGAAGGGAACAACGAUGCAAACGCUUGAAAGCAACUUGGAAUCAUUCUUUCAAAGAAAUUGAAUGCUGACUUUGGAAGUUCAUGGUAUAUCACAAGUUAUAGUUGUCAACUAAUUAUUGCUGCAUGAUUGGACCGUCUUUAGUAAUUUUCUCUUUACGUGUUGCGUUUCCAACAACUGGAAGAGUCGGGGGAAAGCUUGUUGAUACAUCAUAUAACGAACCUCAGUCAGUCGUAGCUAGGUGUGGAAGAUAUUACCGGUGUUGCGAUUCCCCUUUAGUCAAUUUUGCCAUUUGUGUGUUCUUUACUCCUCCUCUUUGGUACAUCUUCCAGUCACAACCCCUCUUUGACGAUUUCCAUGAUCCGCUCCUGUUUGUAAUUAUAAACUUUAAUGGAGAGAGUGAAAGUGCAAGAUAACAGGCGGACACUCUGGAAAUUAUAUAGCUUCUGUAGCUAUAAAUACAGAUUAUUUUAUAUGUACAUUUCUCUGAAAUGUUGUUGACCUCUUGAUAUGCAUUUAAUAUAGUAUACUAGCUAUACCAGUACAUUUAUAUGAUCUAUUUUGUGGCCACUCGAUUAUCAUUUAUAUCUGAAUAAAUCCAAUGGUCAAACGCAUAUUUAUCAAAAAACAAAUAAAAAAAAUCUUCAUUAAAUAGAUUUCAUCUUCUUUAUAAACAUAUUUUGACCUCUAUACAUUUGUCAUUGAUAAUAAAUCUUCAGAAAAUGUUGAUCGAGAAUUUAGGCUGUACACUAGAAAUAUUGUCAAUAUUACCUAUAAUAAGAAAUGUAUAACAACUCUAUUACAUGAUUGUGUUAAGUUAUAGAUAUCAUAAUUCUUCAUUUCUAUAAUAAUUACACUGUAUUUAAGUCAUACAUUAUUUUAUUACAUUUGUGCAAUUACAUACUUGUAUAUAUGUACAGCCUUUACAAUGUAGGAUACCGGUGCCCUUUAGUAUAUGAAUAUGAUAAUAUGUAUCAAUAAUGGUUUACUAUUUUGCCUGCUUUAAUUUAUUUACAUUAUUUCAUACAUGUGAACGUUCACUAUACAGUAUUUCUAUUUUUAUGUCUCCACUCUUUCAGGGGGAGAUAUGUUGUUUUUUUACUUUCUUUCCGUCCGUUUUUCUGUCACAAAAUCUUGUGAACGCUUCUCCUCUUAUAUGGUUUACUGGAUAGACUUGAAACUUUGUACAAUGCUUCAUUUCCAUUUGCAGAUGUGCAUAUUCGUGGGACAAGAGGAUCCGAUGAAUGUAAUAAAAGUAAUUGUGGAUCUAAGAAGGGUGGAGGAUGUAAAAUAGCUUGUGAACACUUCUCCUCCUAUAUGGCGUAUCUGAUAGAUUUGAAACUUUGUAAAAUGUUUCAUUGCCAUUUGUAGAUGUGCAUAAUGGAGGGACGGGGGAAUCCAAUUAUUUUCAUAAACGUUAUAGUGGAUCUAAUAGGGGUGGGGGUGUAAAAUAGCAUGUGAACACUUCUCCUAUAUAACUAAUUGGAUAGAGUUGAAACUUUGUACAGUGUUUCAUUGUCAUUUGUAGAUGUCCCAUAUUAUUGAGACAGGAGAAUCAAAUAAUUUUCAUAAAACUUAUAGUGGAUCUAAGAAAGGGAUGUUAAGAUAGCUUGUGAACGCUUCUCCUCCUAUAUGGCUUAUCUGAUAGACUUGAAAUUUUGUACAAUAAUUCAAUGUCAUUUGCAGAUGUGCAUAUUGUAGGGACAGGAGGAUCCAAUUGUUAUCCCUGAAAUUAUAGUGGAUCGGAGGGGUGCAGGGUGUAAAAUUGUUUGUGAACUCUUAUCCUUUGUGGAUUACCGGAGUUCAUAAUGUCUAUGUUCCUGUUCAUGCUUUCUCCGUACCAUGCAGUACAUUAAGAGAAGGAGGUUUCAUUUGGAGCACAUCCAAUUUGGGGAGCUGGGGAGACAUUUAUUUUUCAUAACAACAAUUUCUAGUUCAUUUCUCUGUUACUAUAAAAAUGUUCAUGAUAUGGGGAACAUAUUAAUGUUCUUUUUUUUUCUUUUUUCUUUUGUUUGCAAACAUUCAAUUUCUCAAUAUUAGCGAGCUAAGUUUGCUUUAACAUUGUAUGUUCCGAAUUUCGACUAAUAUUGUCCACCUUGUAAAAGAACUUGAAUGAUCGCACGUACGGAUGUAGGAGGUUACAUGACAUGUCAGUUUUCAAUUGUUUGAACCAGAAUUAUUUGGUUUUAAAUGGGUGUUUAUAAACAACUGUCACUCGGCCAUUUCUAUUGCAUGUUCAGAAAACAAAUCAAGUAGCAGUCACGUGUCCUGUGCAGACUUGCAGAGGUAAGAUCACCGAUGGUCUUAUCUGUGUAUAACUGUGUAGUUUGUAACUACAGUUCCAUGAAAGAUGAAGACCAAUGUCAUAACUCCUAUAACCAUAGUACCAUGCCAUCAUUGUAAGAGAAAUAAAAGUAUCAAAUACCUCCUA